GCGCAGAUGAGAAACCCAACAAUUGAUAAUCAAAGCAUACGACAAGAAUAUGAAUAAAUAAGAGUUUCAAUAAAAGAGAGUUUCAAAAGAUUGCAUUGUUCCUGAUGACUUGGGUCCAAGCCCAUCAUGGACCCAUCACUUGUGGACUAAAUCAACACAUGGAGAAGGGGUAAAACUGUCCAAAUGAAGACCACAGCUGCUGGAAGCACCCCCCUACCUUUACUAAAUACACCACAUUCUUCCACUAAACUUCAUUCUCCGCUGCUACGAAACUCUGCAAAACAUUCGCUGCUUAUUUUUCUCCUCCACCGACUGGAUCGAGGGCAUCAUUUGGUAAUCAGAGCUUGGUUGCUGCAUUAUAUUACAGCUCCGUGAGCGAUCUCACGAUCCAGAUAAGUGUCAUUGCCUUGAUCCGUACUUUCAUCAACAUUCCUUGCGUGUGUUGUAGUGAUUUCACUGUUCCAUUGCUUCUCUUAAAUUCCAUAGGUUCCUUUGAGUCACUUGUUUGAUCCAGCUUUGAUUUGAUUUGGUCUUAGCAUUUUAAUCAGUUCAUUUCAUAGAUUUGAGUUUUUUUUUUUUUUUUUAAAUCCUACUGCUGUUUGUCUAAGUCAUGUUCAUUGUUGUUUCCAUUAUGUCCAAUUUCCAAGUUUAACCGUGUGUGGAUAAAUCUGCAUAGUUGAUUGGAGUAAUUCAAUAGAAGCUUAGUGCAUCUUGAAUCUCCUCAACAAAGCAGUACCAAAGGUUGACAAAGUAUAACUGUUUCAAAUUUGAAUUUUGGUUUGCAUCAGGUGGAAAAGUGUUAUUCGCACAAUCAAUUGUGUUUUUAUGCUAUUCUGUUUUAAUCUCAUGAUUGUGUGCUUGUGAGUGUUGGAUAUGAUGCAAUAAGAGGAAAAUGCAUACCACAAAAUAUGAUUAAGAUAUUAUAGUGGAGAGCAUUACUCUGCAGAUUCCAAAUCUAUUACACAGCAGCUUGAACCGUGCUGCAUACAUCUUUGCAGAGAGUCUUUGUAAUUUUUUUUAAUUGGUCCAGCUGUAGUAUCCUUGUCUGGACUUCUUCAUAAUUCUAUAGAGUUUGUGUUCAAAUUAGCUUGCUGUUUGGAUUCAUCAAAUUGUGUUUCAUAUUUGUUUGAAGCAUUAGGAUGAAUUUCCAUGUGUGUAUGGAUCAUUUUUGGUUGAAUUGAGCAACCUGUGUGGUGAAAAUUUGAAAUAGCCGUGUGCAGUCACUACCAUCCAUUUCAAUCUGAUAUAUUUGGCAAACCAGACUUGCUCCAAGUGCCAAAUCACUGAUCCAAACACUUUUAAAUCUUAUGCUGAAAUUUGAUUAAUGCAUUGGCUAUCAUUUAGCGUGAAAUGGCAACUGAUAUAGGCAAUUUUUGAUUCAAGCAUGAAUUGUCUCACUUGACAGUUGAUAUAUGUCAUUUAUGCUCAAUUAAAGUUGCUGAAAGCUCUAAAUCAGAAAGAUAUACCUAUCUGUUAAAUAUAACCAAUCUGAUUUCAUUAUUCAGCAUUAUUUUUUUGAAUAAGUUGCAGCGUUUUUAUGACAGUAUUGCUGUGAAGUGUGCAUCCAUAUUGUAUGAUCAUUGGUAGCAAAAUGCUUGGUUCCAGUAAUUAAAGAAAAAGAAUGAAAGCAUAAAUCAAAAUACGUAUAUGCUGNAUUGUAAAAGCAAGAGGAACCGUGCCAAUUGACAUAAGUCUGAAACUGGAUGCAUAGUUUUCAGCAGUUCAUUUAGGCAUUUCUUCAAACACUUUUGCCUAAAUUUCAUUUGAGUUGAAUUGAAUGUUUCUGCAACUUAUCUUUGUUUCUUGCUUUUCAAAUAUACUCUAGAACCUUUCCUAAGUUCCUUUUGAGUGCCAUCUAUCAUUGAACACCGAUUAAUUGCUUGAUUUUUGAUUGUUUGGACUUCUGCACACCAACUGUUUGUUAUAUUUCCAGUGGUGUGUUCUGUUAUGUUAUCAUUGCAGCAGCAAAAGUCCCAAUUUCUGCACUCAAACUUGAUGAAUGUGGAUUGGUGUGAGCUCAUUUGUGGUUACAACAUUGUUGUAGACGGCUUGACAUAAUUGGUAGCACUUUAGGAAGAGGAUUGGUGAAGGAAAAGAUCACUUGGAAGGAUGCAAUUCGGCACAGCAGUGCACUCGUAAGCUGCAAAUUCUGGUGUGGAAUUUCCAUGUGACAGCAGCUUCCUUACUAUGCAGCUGUAAGCUUUGUGAGAAUCCAAUUGCAGAUUCAAUUUUCUUGAGAGAAGCCAAAGCUGCACACCAAAUUUUUUUUACCAUUUCUGAGUACUGAAACAGCAGAACUGCACAAACACCCUUGCAGUUGAGAGAUUUGAGGCUGCCUACAGUGCAGUGUUCAAUUAUUCUGAGAAUCCAAAGUUGCAGUGCCACACUUUUUCCCCUUUCUUUGUGCACAGUUGUCUGCUAAUCUUGUUACUAAAUCUAAAUCAUUAAUUGAAAUCACAAGUAUAAAUGAAUUUAGAUCAAAAGUUGAACUGAUUUUGUCAAAUAUAUUUGCUGAUUUCCACUUUGCUUGGAGUAUUUGUUGUUUGGCAUGUUACAGCUAUGCAGAUGUAAUUUGGAAAGUAUUAUAGCAUUGGUUGCAGCAGUGGAAAUUGUGUAGACUUUCAACACGGCACAAGAGAAAAACAGCCGCAACAGCAGAUCUUCCAAUCAAGUUCAUUCUGCAACAUAUGCAUUUGGCAGCAAAACCACAAACCCCUGUGCAGCAGGGGAAAAUUGGAUCCAUCCUCCACAUCCAUUGCAGUAAAGCCGAGAGAAAGAAUUGGUGCAGUUGAGUUUUUUAAGCAGCAGCAAGGCACCAAAGCUGAGAACGGAAAGUGAAACCACAAGCUAGGAGACUCCAAAAGUAGCCAGCACAUGAAUUUGAACAAGAACCAGAAUGUGGCAGCAGCUGUUCUACUUUUCUUUGUAAUUGUAGUGUUCAUUUUUGAAUUGUAAUAGGUUUUCUGUGUUAGAUUUCUUUAAAGUGUAAAAGGCCAUUCCAAGUCCAAGUGUUUUUGGAAGAGUCCUUGGUGCUCCUUCAACUCUUGGCAAUUGUUUGCUUUACAUUUAGCUUAGACUGGUGAGUGUGUCUUGCUAGCCAAAGCUACAAGCCUCACCUUAGGAGUAGAAUUUUAUCUUACUUUUUUGUAUGUGAUUUUGUAUGUCGCUUAGGGACGUAGGAUUUAUUAGAGUCCGCAUAGAGUCUGAUUGUAUUCAUUGUGAGUCAAGUGCACUUUGUUUUUUAAAAGUAACUUUACUUUAAAGGAUGUCUAGGAUUAGUGAGUUUGAGAAGCAAUAUAUUCUUAGGAAACUAAUGCAACAAAUUGGGAAUAUUAAAGAGAGCUUGAAUCAAGAUAGACUUAAUAGGGAGGUGCAAAGCUCAAUCAUACAAAAUGAACUUAGAGUCAUAAAAAGAGAACAAAAGAAUCAAAGAAAUCAUAAGCUUUUAAGAGAACUCAUUCAAGAGGGUAGAACAUUCAUUAAAAGUUUAAAUGGAUUUUAUUGUCAGGAACGAGAAUUUAGAGAUAAACUUAUGAAUUUCUUGAAUGAGGGAAGUAAAAGAGACCUAGAGAGAAAACGUNGGGAACAACAAGAANGNAUAGAAAGACACGAGAGAAGAAAAGAGAGAAAAAGAGAAGAAGAAAGAAGAAGAGAAAGAGAGAGAAGAAGAGAGCAAGUGAGAAUAGAAGAGGAAGAAAGAGANAGNAGAGAACGAGUGAAGAGAGAUGAGGAAGAAAAAAUAGAGCAACAUCGGAAAGAAGAGGAAGAAAAAGAGAGAAUAAGAAGAGAGAAAGAAAAGAGAGAAGAGGAAGAAAAGCGAGAGAAGGAAGAACUUGAAAGGAAGGAAAGGGAAGAAAAGAAAUUGUUGACAAUAUCUCCUAAUCUAGAACCCAAAAGGGGAGGUUUUCUAUCCUUUAACUUUCCUUCAAUGGAAAUUACAUGUUCCAAAUUCAUCUUUUCUUUCCAAAACAUUGCCAUCACAUCUUUUCAAAAGUUGCAAUUUUUAAAAUAUGGCAAUAAAAAACUUGAGUUAGAGUCACCUUUUUGGUUAUCACUAACUCAAGAUAAAAAUAAAUUCUCAAAUGAAGAAUGGUUUCUUUAUAAUCAUCAUAUUGAAAAUUUUAAAAUUAAGAAACCUUCUUCUAAACAUGUUUUUUUAUACAUUUUGUUGGGUCAUAGAAAACUAAUUAGAGAUAUGUUUGAUGCUUAUUGCAGAUUAAUCUUUGACCCAGGAAGGAACUUCUAUGGAGUCUACAAUAAUAAGUCCUCAGGAGAACCAUCAAGAUUUGAGGACAAAUCCUUUCCAAGGGGGAGGGGAUGAUGACUUGGGUCCAAGCCCAUCAUGGACCCAUCACUUGUGGACUAAAUCAACACAUGGAGAAGGGGUAAAACUGUCCAAAUGAAGACCACAGCUGCUGGAAGCACCCCCCUACCUUUACUAAAUACACCACAUUCUUCCACUAAACUUCAUUCUCCGCUGCUACGAAACUCUGCAAAACAUUCGCUGCUUAUUUUUCUCCUCCACCGACUGGAUCGAGGGCAUCAGUUCCCCAACAACAAAAGGGUUUAGUUCACCAUUGUCAUGGUGAAACUAGAUGAAAAAUAGUGGAAGAAUGGAAAAACAAACCCUAGAUAGGAUAAAAAGGAGCCUAAGAAUCCAAGAGAUCUUCUCCAAGGAAUGAAAAUUAGGUCUGGCCGCCC
rnacentral:lncRNA from 1 species